rnacentral:rRNA from 1 species
CAGCAGAGUUUGAUCCUGGCUCAGAGCGAACGCUGGCGGCAGGCCUAACACAUGCAAGUCGAGCGGGCGUAGCAAUACGUCAGCGGCAGACGGGAGAGUAACACGUGGGAACGCGCCCUUCGGUUCGGAAUAACUCAGGGAAACUUGAGCUAAUACCGGAUACGCCCUUACGGGGAAAGAUUUAUCGCCGAAGGAACGGCCCGCGUCGGAUUAGCUAGUUGGCGGGGUAAAGGCCCACCAAGGCGACGAUCCGUAGCUGGUCUGAGAGGAUGAUCAGCCACACUGGGACUGAGACACGGCCCAGACUCCUACGGGAGGCAGCAGUGGGGAAUAUUGGACAAUGGGGGCAACCCUGAUCCAGCAAUGCCGCGUGUGUGAAGAAGGCCUUCGGGUUGUAAAGCACUUUUAUCAGGAACGAAACACGCAGGUUUAAUACGUCUGCGGACUGACGGUACCUGAGGAAUAAGCACCGGCUAACUUCGUGCCAGCAGCCGCGGUAAUCA